rnacentral:rRNA from 1 species
UACGUAGGUGGCACGCGUUGUCCGGAAUUACUGGGUGUAAAGGGAGCGCAGGCGGGGGAUUAAGUUGGAUGUGAAAUACUCAGGCUCAACCUGGGGGCUGCAUCCAAAACUGGUUCUCUUGAGUGAAGUUGAGGUAGGCGGAAUUCCUAGUGUAGCGGUGAAAUGCGUAGAUAUUAGGAGGAGCACCAGUGGCGAAGGCGGCCUACUGGGCUUUAACUGACGCUGAGGCUCGAAAGCGUGGGGAGCAAACAGG